UACGUAGGGCGCGAGCGUUGUCCGGAAUUAUUGGGCGUAAAGAGCUCGUAGGCGGCUUGUCACGUCGGGUGUGAAAGACCGGGGCUUAACUCCGGUUCUGCAUUCGAUACGGGCUAGCUAGAGUGUGGUAGGGGAGAUCGGAAUUCCUGGUGUAGCGGUGAAAUGCGCAGAUAUCAGGAGGAGCACCGGUGGCGAAGGCGGAUCUCUGGGCCAUUACUGACGCUGAGGAGCGAAAGCGUGGGGAGCGAACAGG
rnacentral:rRNA from 1 species